UCUCCAGAAUAUCUCCAACUACACACUUAGAAACAGCACUUAGAAGUAGCACCAAGCUAUAUUACACAAGCUAAUGAGACCAAGCCUUAUAUAACUCCUUAAAUCACCGCCCACUAGGAAUGUUUAACACCUGGGUAGGCCUCUGCUUAUUUGCAAACAAUAGCUAAUUAACCAGCAAUCAACAGCAAGUAACUAGCUUAAUCAAAUCAAAUGCCUUAUAAUUACCAACAGGAAUUCAAACCUUGGGCAAUCAGUAACCUUUUCCUACAGAUGAAUCUUACCUGUAACAGUAGAAAAGAAAGCUCUUAGCACAACUCUUAGACAGUUGAAGCUUCUGUAAAACUCUCCAGAAUAUCUCCAACUACACACUUAGAAACAGCACUUAGAAGUAGCACCAAGCUAUAUUAGACAAGCU